AUGUGACCAUGAAAAAUGAAAGGAAUCUAAAACGCUGGAGAAUGGGCUAAAAAGAAUGGAAAGAAUCGAAUGUUGAAAAGCUCUGCAGCCCACAGGGUGGUUUAUUCUUCCCUUGCGAAUCAAGAAUCUAUCGCCUCAGAAUUAUCCCUUAGCAACUUUCCAUGAUGAUUUCAUGGAAUAUUUGUUUGAAAGUGUUCAUGUAAAAAGGAUUGGUGGAGAUUUUUACCUGUUUCAAUUUUUUUCUUUUUCAUGCCGUGAACCUUAUCAGGCAUAUUUGAUUAUACAUCUUGAAAUCAUUGAAAACCGGGUGUGUCUCAAUUCUCAAAUGAAGUCUGAAAAAUUAUAGACAUAAAGUGUAUUCAUUUAACAAAACAUGGAUGGGUUUCUUUUUGAAGUUGUCAAUAACAACGGAUAUAAUUUCAUGAUUGAUAUGUGAAAACUCUUUAAAGAAGGCUAAUUUAAAAAUAAAAUAAUUUGGUAGGGAAAAAGGAUGAAUGCUUUUACGUGAUAGAGCUCGUGGGUCGCCUCUUUUACUAAGUGGGGCUUAGACAUGGCUCAGACCCAUCCAUGCAUCAAAGAAAAGUCGAUAGCAUUUAGUUUUGAUUCUCUGGUUUCUCCUCUUUUUUCUUUUCUUUUGGAAUGCAACUGGAUUUUUAUUCCUCAAGAUGGGCAGUCAUGCAACUGGAUUUUUGUUCCCUUUUAGCCUUUGGAUAUGCUACACAUAUGUAUAGAAGACCCAAAUCAUAACCAAAUAACAUCGUUCCAUUGGCUUCAAGUUAAUAAACUCCAUUUUGUGCUUCCUCGAUGUCUUCGACAACUACUAAUCACGAUGCAGAAGAACCCCCCAAGUUGCAGAGGAAGGAUGGCAAGAUGAAGGCUACGUUUAAUCCCAGACAGCUGAACGUUAGCUGGGGCAGAGACAGCCGUUACUGGAAGAUGCCAGAAAAGCUGAGACUCAGAAAGAAGCAAUAAGACUGUGUGUGUGGGAUCCCCACUAAAAAGUGCCACGCGUCUCUCUCUCUUUUGGCCACGUGGACUAUUCCCCUACGACAUGUAGCACAGUUAGUUCCACCCGGACGGGGGAAUCAUCAUUCAAUCCCCCCGGGGUGUCUCGCAGCCGCCAGUAUAUCCAGCUGACCUUCCACCUUAGCCGGAUAUCUCAUAUCCGGAUCUAGGCGACGUUCCACCUUCUCCAAGUAUAUCUCAUUCGGCACCUUCCACUGAUGGGAAAAGGAAGACGAUUCAACUUCCCCGGAUAAGACAUGUCCGGCUACUCUUGUGACAGCAUACCCGGACAGUAUAGCUCGUUGGAUAUUCGCAGAAUCACCGGAUCUGCUUCCGCCCGCAUAUCAAGAAGAUAACUCUAACAACACUGAAGACCAAGCCCACUGAACUGUCACUCAUCAUUAAUGUAAGAUACAUUCGACAAGACAUUCCCAAAUCUUCUCUGUU